GAUGAACGCUGGCGGCGUGCCUAAUACAUGCAAGUCGAGCGAACAGACGAGGAGCUUGCUCCUCUGACGUUAGCGGCGGGCGGGUGAGUAACGCGUGGAUAACCUACCUAUAAGAGUGGGAUAACUUCGGGAAACCGGAUCUAAUACCGGAUAAGCUCUUGAACCGCAUUGUGCGUUAGUGAAAGUCGGUUUUUCUGUCACUUCUAGAUGGUUCCGCGCUGCAUUAGCUAGUUGGUAAGGUAACGGCUUACCAAGGCGACGAUGCGUAGCCGAAGUGAGAGGGUGAUAGCCCACACUGGAACUGAGACGCGGUCAAGACUCCUACGGGAGGCAGCAGUAGGGAAUGUGCGGCAAUGGGCGAAAGCCUGACGGAGCAACGCCGCGUGAGUGAUGAAGGUCUUCGGAUCGUAAAACUCUGUUAUUAGGGAAGAACAGAUGUGUAAGUAAACAUGCACGUCUUGACGGUACCUGAUCAGAAAGCAACGGCUAACUACGUG
rnacentral:rRNA from 1 species